CCCCGCAGCUCGCCCGCCCGCCCGGCUCGCCCGGGGGAAGGUAGCAAGCGGGCGAGCGCGCCCUCGCCCCAGCCCCGCGCGGCGACCAAGGACCGGGAAGAUGAACGGCGGAGGCAAAGCCGAGAAGGAGAACACCCCGAGCGAGGCCAACCUUCAGGAGGAGGAGGUCCGGACACUAUUUGUCAGUGGUCUGCCUCUGGACAUCAAACCCCGGGAGCUUUACCUGCUCUUCAGACCAUUCAAGGGCUAUGAGGGGUCUCUUAUAAAGCUCACAUCUAAACAGCCCGUAGGUUUUGUCAGUUUCGACAGUCGCUCCGAAGCAGAAGCUGCCAAGAACGCUUUGAACGGCAUCCGCUUCGAUCCGGAAAUCCCGCAGACACUACGACUAGAAUUUGCCAAGGCGAACACGAAGAUGGCCAAGAACAAACUCGUAGGGACUCCCAACCCCAGUGCUCCUUUGCCCAACACCGUACCUCAGUUCAUUGCCAGAGAGCCAUAUGAGCUCACAGUGCCUGCACUUUACCCCAGUAGCCCUGAAGUGUGGGCCCCGUACCCUCUGUACCCAGCGGAGUUAGCGCCUGCUCUUCCUCCUCCUGCUGCUGCUUUCACCUAUCCCGCCUCACUGCAUGCCCAGGUUUCGGGUCCCCGCGCCCCCUGCCUAAGGGCCCCGGCCCCUAGGCUGACCUUCCCCAGCUGACGCGGGAAGGCAGCGCCAACUCUGCUCUCUUUAGAGAGCAAAUGGACUCGGAUGAAUGCACGAGCCAUGAGCCAUGGAUGCGCUGGCUCCCUCCCUCCGAGGCUACUUCUCAGGGUUGGAAGUCCCGACAGUUCUGCUGAAGGCUGUGUUUGAAAACACCUUGUCCAGUUUUGAUCCCUUCAAGACUUUGCCACAGCCUCUAUCACACAUCUGUUUUCCUCAAAGACAAAAAAAUAUAUAAUAAAGUGUGUUUUACUCUUUUACACUGUA